AUGGAUAAAUAUGAGAGGUACAAUUUGUUAAUCAAAUAUGAAGGGCGUGAGGAGAGAAUGAACAAUUUGCUGGCUGACAGGUACUCCUACAUCAGACUGUUGACUGACAUAUAUGAGUUGUUGGAUUUAAAGAGUGAUUUUAUAGAGAUCAAGGCUGGUAAUGGUUUCACAAUAGAGAAUGAUGUUGAUUUAAUGCUUAUAUUUGAGCUUUACAAGGAAAAUCGAGAAAUACCCUUAGCUGUUACAACUAAGGCAGUAGCAUUAAAUGUAGAAAUACCUAAACGAAAUAGAAAAGAGAAAAAUGUAUGUUAUAUUGAAAUUGAGCAGGAAGUUGAUGCUGUUGAAAAUGUACCAGUUAGGAAUUAUGAGAGGGAAAGUGGUAGUUGCAGUAAUGCAGGUUCUGUUAGGGGCAAUGAGGGUAUGUUUCAUGAAGUUAAUAUUGAGGGUCCCAAUACUGGAGAUAGUGAAGAUGAGGAAAAUGUAGAAGGUGGAGAAAGUGUAGAAAGUGAGAAAAAUAUAGAAGUAGAGGAGGAAAACAUAGAAGGAGAGGAGGAAAAUGUAGAAGCUGAGAAUAAUGCAGAUUCUGUGGGUGUUGAUUGUGUGGGUGCAGAAUCUCUGGAUGUUGAUUCUAUGGGUGCUGAUAGUGAAGGCAGUAGUAAUGAUGAAUUGUGUAAAGAGGAUGAGAUGGAGGAUGAAAUGAUGGUUGAAAGUGAUUCCAACCCUUUUUCUGAUUUUCAUAGUGGAGAUGAAGAUAGUGUUGAUGAAGAAGCUGAAACUGUAGAUGUUCAGGGUUGUCGGAGAAAAUGGAAAGAUCCUUUAAAAGGAUUAUACUCAGAUCUAUUUUCUUGUCAAGAAGGAGAAGAAAUACAAUUUAAAAUUGGUCAAGUUUUUGAUAAUGUCCAAGCAGUUAGAGAUGCACUUAGGGACUAUGCAGUUAAAGGGGGCUUUACAAUAAUUAGAAAGAAAAAUGAUAAUAAAAGAGUGACUGCAGUAUGUGACAAUGGUACUUGUCCUUGGAGAUUUCAUGCUUCUGUUUUACCUGACAAGAUUACAUUUAUGAUUAAAACAUUGCAAGAUGAGCAUACAUGCAUAAGACCAAUUGACAACCAAAAUCAUAACCAUACUUGCAUUUGGAUUGCUGAAAAGCUUAAGAGUAGUUUGAGAGCUGAUCCUGAAAUGAGUUAUGAAUUGAUGCAAAAUGAAUUGAAGGAAAAGUGGGGUGUUGAGCCCCCUAUAUGGCAGUUGUAUAGAGCCAAAUGUAAGGCAAAAGAAAAAAAUAUUGGUUUGCAUGAAGACUCUUACAAACAAUUGCACAAGUAUGUACACUACUUGAAAAUGUUCAAUCCUGGUACUGAGGUGAAAAUUCAAAGUGCAGAACCUGUUAAUGUUAAUGAACUUAGGGUCUUCAAGAGAUUGUUUAUCAUGUUUGAUGCUGUUAGAGCAGGAUUCAUAGAUGGAUGUAGACCCUUUUUUGGGUUGGAUGGAUGUCAUCUUAAGGGACUUUAUGGUGGGAUAUUCCUAUGUGCUAUUAUAUUGGAUGGCAAUAGGGGAGUGUUGCCCCUAGCUUUUGCAGUAGUUGAAUCUGAAUGUGGAGAUAGCUGGAGGUGGUUUCUACAAUGCAUGGAAUCACGUAUUGGGCAAGGUACAGAUGACAGACCGUGGACAAUAAUGUCUGAUAGACAAAAGGUAUAUGUUCAUUAUUUGCAUUAUAUUCCUUUCACAAUUAUUUCAAUAGACUUUAUAUAAUGAUUUUUUUUUUUUGCAGGGAUUAAAGGAAGCUAUGAAGGAUAUAUUUCCUUCAGCUGCUCACAGGUUUUGCUGUAGACACUUAUACAGUAAUUUCAAGAAGGAGUUUCCUGGGUUGACAUUAAAGAAGGACUUCUGGAAUGCAGCCAAAGCUACUCAUGGAUAUGAGUUUUGGCUGCAUAUGAAAAAUAUGAAACCUAAGAAGGAGCAGAAGCCUCAUGAUUGGUUGCUGAAGAUACCACUUUCACAUUGGUCAAGGCAUGCAUUUUGGACAACAGCAAAGUGUGACAACUACACCAACAAUUUUACUGAAUCAUUUAAUAGCUGGAUUGGAAAUAUCAGGGGUUUGCCAAUUAUUCAGAUCAUUGAGAAGGUAAGGCAGAAAUGUAUGCUUAGAUUCCAUGAAAGGUAUGAGAAGGCAGCAACUUGGCAAGGUAAGGUGACCCCAAGAAUUCAGAAGACGUUGAGGCAAAUUAUAAACCAGAGUAGAUGUGUGAAGUUAAUUCCGGGAAGAAAUGAUGAAUUUGAAUGUCAUGAAGGUCCUUGUAGGUUUGCAGUUUCACUUGAAAGGAGAACUUGUUCAUGUGGUUGGUGGGACAUUUCAGGCUUGCCAUGUAAGCAUGCUGCUAGGGCAAUAGGAUACAAGAGAGCUGAGAUUGAAGACUUUUGUGAUGAAUGUUUCACCAUUUCUACAUACAAGAAGGUAUAUCAACAUGCAAUACAUCCCAUACCACAAAGGGAUUUGCAACCAGAUGAGGAUCACCCACCAAUGCAGCCUCCUCCUCUGAAAAGGCAACCAGGCAGACCAAAAAAGGCAAGGAGAAGAGAAGAUGGUGAGGCAGGUCCAGCUCCAAAGAGGACAAGAAAUGCUACAGUGGUUUGCACAAGGUGUCACAAGUUGGGACAUAAUAAAAGAACCUGUCAAGUUACACCUGGUGGGGUAAGAAUAUCUCUCUAAUUAUUAUUUUCAUUUACAUAUAUGUCCAUUUACUGUUAUAAUUUAUUUGACUAUUUCUAUUAAUUUUGAUUGCAGUCCACCAGUAGUCACAGGGGAAAUCAAUUUGAAAUGGGGCAGACUGGACAGGAGACAGUUGAUAUUAAUUCUACCCAACCAAUGGACCUUCAUAGCCAAGUAUCAGCAAACUAAGAUGUAUGUUUUUUUGGACAGAUUUGGAUAUAUUAGUGUGCAGCUUUGAAGUGCAACAUGUUUUUUUGGAUAUAUUAGAUGUGCAACAUAAUUUUUUGGACAGAUUUGGUGAGUUUUUGAUGUGAUUUUUUUGGACAUAAUUAGUGUGCAGCUUUUGAUGUUUUUUUUUUUUUUACAGAUUUCAUUUGCAGGUUUUGAGAUCUUUUGAUGUGCAGCUAUUUUGGAUACAUCCUGGUCAUUUCAGAUAGGCAGAUAUUGUAAAGCUAUUUUGGACAACUUUGAAGAAAUUAGAUAUAGGACUUGAACAGUACAAGGAUAAGGCUGAUGUAAUGUAAUGGAAAAAAUUUUGUACAUAUGCAGAUAUCCGGGUGGUUUUUUUUGCAUAUAUUUUGUAAUGUAAUGGAAAAAAUUUCAUUUGCAAUGUAAUGGACUUGAUCAGUACAAGG
rnacentral:lncRNA from 1 species